AUCCACCUACUGUCUGUAAAAUUUGCAGUAGUAAUGUGUGUGUGAUUUUGUUGUAGGCCAGGUGUGAAUUCUUCCUUCUAUCAAGAAAAAAUAUGUUUAUGCAGCCUGGUAUGAAGCUUUCUGGCAAGGAGAUGAGUCAGGCUUUGUUUGAACUGGAAGGCUGGUGAACAGAUCUUUUAGAAAGUGAAAAGGUAUGGACAACGUAACAGAGGGAUACAAAGCAGUUGACAUGGCAGGUCACCAUUUCCCAAGCUGAGCCUGGGCAUCCCCAGCUCUUCCCGUCAGCACCUCCAAGAAAAAGGAUGAUCGGGAACACAUCUCUCAAAGGCAAAGCAAAGGUGACUUGGUGCCUGGGUGUGAUGCUGGCUGAGAUGGAGCCCUCCCUUUCAGAGAGGUGGGAGACAUGUGUGGCCAUGAAGAGAAAGAGCAGAGACUACUUAAAAAGGAAAAUGCACUGAUGCACUAGGAGGAGAAAAAGUGAACCUGCACACUUUGUUCCUCACAGCAAGAUGACCUAUCUGAGGAAGGCAAAUUUGCCGUCUGAGAAGAGUUCAAACAUGUAUGAUGAGGCUGGAAAAGCUGAAGAAGAGCAUGGAUGGUGACUUUCUGGAUAAAUAGAUCACCAGGUUCCUUAGAAGCUUACAGCAAUUCUCUCCUCUCUUUCUUCACAUUGAUGUAGCAUGUUUCUUCUGGGGCUUAUUCUUAGUCCAGAGUUUGAAACUUUAACCACCACUGAGGAAUAUUGGAUCUUCCCUGAAAGGAAACAAUAUACUUUUGCACACAAAGAAACAAAGUGCCCUGAUGACCCCUGCAACAGACUUUCUUUUUGAGCAGAAUGAAACUUUUUUUCAACCUGAGGUUGCUUUGGGGAAUCACUAAUAAUGGGGUUUACAGUCAUUGCUAGUUGAAAUAUUGUCAGUCCUCCAGGCUCCACUUCCAGGCAUUAGUAUGUAUGUAAAUGAGAGUUUGCCAGACCAAGCCUCACACCAUAUAAAA